GACGAACUGUCCUAACGUUGUUCGGAAUCACUGGGCUUAAAGGGCGCGUAGGCGGUCCGACAAGUCAGGGGUGAAAUCCCGCAGCUUAACUGCAGAAGUGCCUUUGAUACUGUCGGUCUGGAGGGAGAUAGGGGUGUGCGGAACUUCCAGUGGAGCGGUGAAAUGCGUUGAUAUUGGAAGGAACGCCGGAGGCGAAAGCGGCGCACUGGAUCUCUUCUGACGCUGAGGCGCGAAAGCUAGGGGAGCAAACGGG
rnacentral:rRNA from 1 species